GAUGAACGCUGGCGGCGUGCCUAAUACAUGCAAGUCGAGCGAACGGACGAGAAGCUUGCUUUUCUGAUGUUAGCGGCGGACGGGUGAGUAACACGUGGAUAACCUACCUAUAAGACUGGGAUAACUUCGGGAAACCGGAGCUAAUACCGGAUAAUAUUUUGAACCGCAUGGUUCAUAAGUGAAAGACGGUCUUGCUGUCACUUAUAGAUGGAUCCGCGCUGCAUUAACUAGUUGGUAAGGUAACGGCUUACCAAGGCAACGAUGCAUAGCCGACCUGAGAGGGUGAUCGGCCACACUGGAACUGAGACACGGUCCAGACUCCUACGGGAGGCAGCAGUAGGGAAUCUUCCGCAAUGGGCGAAAGCCUGACGGAGCAACGCCGCGUGAGUGAUGAAGGUCUUCGGAUCGUAAAACUCUGUUAUUAGGGAAGAACAUAUGUGUAAGUAACUGUGCACAUCUUGACGGUACCUAAUCAGAAAGCCACGGCUAACUACGUG
rnacentral:rRNA from 1 species